AAAAAAGGUAAGCUACUAAGAGCGAAUGGUGGAUGCCUUGACUGGUAAAGGCGAUGAAGGACGUACUAGACUGCGAUAAGCUACGGGGAGCUGUCAAGAAGCUUUGAUCCGUAGAUUUCCGAAUGGGGCAACCCAAUGUAUAGAGAUAUACAUUACCUAUAUAGGAGCGAACGAGGGGAAUUGAAACAUCUUAGUACCCUCAGGAAAAGAAAUCAAUAGAGAUUGCGUCAGUAGCGGCGAGCGAAAGCGCAAGAGGGCAAACCCAGUGCUUGCACUGGGGGUUGUAGGACUGCAAUGUGCAAGAGGUGAGUUUAGCAGAACAUUCUGGAAAGUAUAGCCAUAGAGGGUGAUAGUCCCGUAUGCGAAAAACAAACCUUAGCUAGCAGUAUCCUGAGUAGGGCGGGACACGAGAAAUCCUGUCUGAAGCUGGGUCGACCACGAUCCAACCCUAAAUACUAAUACCAGAUCGAUAGUGCACAAGUACCGUGAGGGAAAGGUGAAAAGAACUGAGGUGAUCAGAGUGAAAUAGAACCUGAAACCAUUUGCUUACAAUCAUUCAGAGCCCUAUGUAGCAAUACAGGGUGAUGGACUGCCUUUUGCAUAAUGAGCCUGCGAGUUGUGGUGUCUGGCAAGGUUAAGCAAACGCGAAGCCGUAGCGAAAGCGAGUCUGAAUAGGGCGCUUAGUCAGAUGCUGCAGACCCGAAACGAAGUGAUCUAUCCAUGAGCAAGUUGAAGCUAGUGUAAGAACUAGUGGAGGACUGAACCCAUAGGCGUUGAAAAGCCCCGGGAUGACUUGUGGAUAGGGGUGAAAGGCCAAUCAAACUUCGUGAUAGCUGGUUCUCUCCGAAAUAUAUUUAGGUAUAGCGUUGUGUCGUAAUAUAAGGGGGUAGAGCACUGAAUGGGCUAGGGCAUACACCAAUGUACCAAACCCUAUCAAACUCCGAAUACCUUAUAUGUAAUCACAGCAGUCAGGCGGCGAGUGAUAAAAUCCGUCGUCAAGAGGGAAACAACCCAGACUACCAGCUAAGGUCCCUAAAUCUUACUUAAGUGGAAAACGAUGUGAAGUUACUUAAACAACCAGGAGGUUGGCUUAGAAGCAGCCAUCCUUUAAAGAAAGCGUAAUAGCUCACUGGUCUAGUGAUUUUGCGCGGAAAAUAUAACGGGGCUAAAGUAAGUACCGAAGCUGUAGACUUGCGCACAACUUAGAUUAUUUAAGUUUAGAAUAUGAGAAACUAAGUUAUAUGUUUAGUUAUAUUUUUACUGAUUUUUAUAGAGUAAAGAUAGAAAUAAAACUUAGUAAAAUCAGUAAAAAUAUUCUUAGACUAAAGUUAAGUAGUUUAAGUUGUGUGCAAGUGGUAGGAGAGCGUUCUAUUUGCGUCGAAGGUAUACCGGUAAGGAGUGCUGGAGCGAAUAGAAGUGAGCAUGCAGGCAUGAGUAGCGAUAAUUAAUGUGAGAAUCAUUAACGCCGUAAACCCAAGGUUUCCUACGCGAUGCUCGUCAUCGUAGGGUUAGUCGGGUCCUAAGCCGAGUCCGAAAGGGGUAGGCGAUGGCAAAUUGGUUAAUAUUCCAAUACCAACAUUAGUGUGCGAUGGAAGGACGCUUAGGGCUAAGGGGGCUAGCGGAUGGAAGUGCUAGUCUAAGGUCGUAGGAGGUUAUACAGGCAAAUCCGUAUAACAAUACUCCGAGAACUGAAAGGCUUUUUGAAGUCUUCGGAUGGAUAGAAGAACCCCUGAUGCCGUCGAGCCAAGAAAAGUUUCUAAGUUUAGCUAAUGUUGCCCGUACCGUAAACCGACACAGGUGGGUGGGAUGAGUAUUCUAAGGCGCGUGGAAGAACUCUCUUUAAGGAACUCUGCAAAAUAGCACCGUAUCUUCGGUAUAAGGUGUGGUUCGCUUCGUACUAGGAUUUACUCCGAAAGCGAAGAAACUUACAACAAAGAGUCCCUCCCGACUGUUUACCAAAAACACAGCACUCUGCUAACUCGUAAGAGGAUGUAUAGGGUGUGACGCCUGCCCGGUGCUCGAAGGUUAAUUGAUGGGGUUAGCAUUAGCGAAGCUCUUGAUCGAAGCCCGAGUAAACGGCGGCCGUAACUAUAACGGUCCUAAGGUAGCGAAAUUCCUUGUCGGUUAAAUACCGACCUGCAUGAAUGGCGUAACGAGAUGGGAGCUGUCUCAAAGAGGGAUCCAGUGAAAUUGUAGUGGAGGUGAAAAUUCCUCCUACCCGCGGCAAGACGGAAAGACCCCGUGGACCUU
rnacentral:rRNA from 1 species